AUCCUAACCUAAUUACCUCUAGUGCUGAUCCUUAUUUUUUCCUACGCCGAUUUCCUCCCUAGCUAGCACACGCCGCCGAUUCUUUCUGCUGUCGUCGAUUCUGCUUUUGCCGUCGUCGUUAUUCUCACCGACGCUCACAUCCUUGUCGCCGAUCCUCUCACUUUCUCCUCCCUAACCUGCUCUCACCCGUCGCCGCUCCUCUCACACAUGCUCACGCAUCUCUGUCCAUGUCGCCGCCACUGCCAGCCGCCGGCCUCCAUCGUGCGUCUCCACCACGAUUCAGCAGCACUCCCUGAAGCUUUAAAGGUUCAGUCUGAUUGUGAUGUGGGAUGGAAGCUUGGUUGUUGCUGCAAAUAAUCAUGGAACAUGUUAUGUCUGACGCUUACUAAAAGAGGUAUUGGAGGUUUGAUGCGAAAUGGACUUUUUUGGAGAUCUUAAGAAUGCCAAACAUUUUUAUAUAUGAAGACUUUAGAGGAAUGAAUACUCUUGAUGUAAAUGGAUUUGAAUUUUACAAGUUUAAGGAUGUAAAGCAUGAACUAAUGGAUGAUAUUUUAAUAAAUAUGGUAUUUUUAUUUUUAA